GACUCCGUGGCGCAAUGGUAGCGCGUCUGACUCCAUAUUAGAAGGUUGCGUGUUCAAAUCACGUCGGGGUCA
rnacentral:tRNA from 2 species